ACAAUGCGUGGAGGCAAGGAGCCGAGGGCUUAACUUGGUCGCUGACCAGUCCGCUCGGAUUGGUAAGCCUUCGGGGAGCCAGUAGCGAAACCGGCCACAAUUGU
rnacentral:ncRNA from 2 species